GCGCUGAGGUUGCAGUAGUGGAGAGCGAGAGAAAGAGGUACUUCGCAUCAAUUUAUCACUCCGUCAGCUGACUUCCAUUGUAAGAAGAACGUAGAUAAGGAAAUCUACGAAUAUAUAAUUGAAAAAAUGUUACUCGCGAUCAGAAAUUUAAUUCUUUUCGUGUUUUUUAGUAUUUGCCUAAUAAACGUUACAGCAACUUUAAUUUCUACUGAAGAACAAGGUAAAAGUACUCUACUAGAAAUUGGAAAAAAA